UGAUGCACACUAUUAAAGGGGCUGUAAUCAAUAAACAGAACAUGAAUAUAGCAGUAAACAACUAUUUGCUAUGU